rnacentral:rRNA from 1 species
UACGUAGGGUGCAAGCGUUUAAUCGGAAUUACUAGGGCGUAAAGCGCGCGCAGGCGGAUCCUGCAAGUCGGAAGUGAAAUGUGGCUGCUCAACGGCCACGCUGCUUCCGAUACUGCGGAUCUGGGGACCGGUAGAGGCUGGUGGAAUUGCAGGUGUAGCGGUGGAAUGCGUAGAGAUCGCAAGAACACCCGUGGCCGAAGGCGGCCAGCUGGGCCGGAUCGACGCUGGAGGCGCGAAAGCCGUGGGGGAGCAAACAGG